rnacentral:rRNA from 1 species
AUUGAACGCUGGCGGCAUGCCUUACACAUGCAAGUCGAACGGCAGCACGGGAGCAAUCCUGGUGGCGAGUGGCGAACGGGUGAGUAAUAUAUCGGAACGUGCCCAGUCGUGGGGGAUAACGUAGCGAAAGCUACGCUAAUACCGCAUACGAUCUAUGGAUGAAAGCGGGGGAUCGCAAGACCUCGCGCGAUUGGAGCGGCCGAUAUCAGAUUAGGUAGUUGGUGGGGUAAAGGCUCACCAAGCCGACGAUCUGUAGCUGGUCUGAGAGGACGACCAGCCAGACUGGGACUGAGAAACGGCCCAGACUCCUACGGGAGGCAGCAGUGGGGAAUUUUGGACAAUGGGCGCAAGCCUGAUCCAGCAACGCCGCGUGCAGGAUGAAGGCCUUCGGGUUGUAAACUGCUUUUGUACGGAACGAAACGGUCCGGGUUAAUACCCUGGGCUAAUGACGGUACCGUAAGAAUAAGCACCGGCUAACUACGUGCCAGCCGCCGCAGUAAUAC